GUCGUCCAUUAUCAGUGAUAUUAAAAACUUUGAAGAAAAAUAUUUUUUGUUUUUAUCAACGUAUUUUCUUUUUCUUUUUUUUUUAUAAAAAGCAACAAUUGUAAAAAGCAAUGACUCAAGAAGGAGAAUGGCGAUCCACUUAUAAAACCCGCUCAUAAAACCGCCACUCGAAUAGAAUCGUUCAACGAUAUUUUUCAAAAUAUUACUCUUAUUUUGUGUAUACGUAAGUAAACACGUAUCGACUAUUUAUUUUCAAAUAUAGUAACUCGCAAAGAAUAUAGUUUUGACAAAAAAAAA